rnacentral:rRNA from 1 species
UACGUAGGGUGCGAGCGUUGUCCGGAAUUAUUGGGCGUAAAGAGCUCGUAGGCGGUCUGUCGCGUCGGAUGUGAAAGCCCGGGGCUUAACCCCGGGUCUGCAUUCGAUACGGGCAGACUAGAGUGUGGUAGGGGAGAUCGGAAUUCCUGGUGUAGCGGUGAAAUGCGCAGAUAUCAGGAGGAACACCGGUGGCGAAGGCGGAUCUCUGGGCCAUUACUGACGCUGAGGAGCGAAAGCGUGGGGAGCAAACAGG